ACAGAAGCCGGGAUAG
rnacentral:tRNA from 6 species